GAUGAACGCUAGCUCAGGCUUAACACAUGCAAGUCGAGGGGAAACGAUAUUGGAAGCUUGCUUCCGAUAGGCGUCGACCGGCGCACGGGUGAGUAACGCGUAUCCAACCUGCCCAUCACUUGGGAAUAACCUUGCGAAAGUAAGACUAAUGCCCAAUGACAUUUAUAGAAGGCAUCUGAAAUGAAUUAAAGAUUUAUCGGUGAUGGAUGGGGAUGCGUCUGAUUAGCUUGUUGGCGGGGUAACGGCCCACCAAGGCGACGAUCAGUAGGGGUUCUGAGAGGAAGGUCCCCCANAUUGGAACUGAGACACGGUCCAAACUCCUACGGGAGGCAGCAGUGAGGAAUAUUGGUCAAUGGGACGGGAGUCUGAACCAGCCAAGUAGCGUGCAGGAUGACGGCCCUAUGGGUUGUAAACUGCUUUUAUAGGGGGAUAAAGUGUGCCACGUGUGGCAUAUUGCAGGUACCCUAUGAAUAAGGACCGGCUAAUUCCGUGCCAGCAG
rnacentral:rRNA from 1 species